UGUCACAUAGAUUAUUAAUUAAAAAAUAUUAAAUUAUAUAAAAAAUAGCUAAAAGAAUAAAAAUGUUAAUUUUAAGGACGCUAAUGCCGCUAGCGAAACCCUAAACGCUAAAUCUUAAAUUCUAAACCUUAUACCCUAAAUUCUAAACACAAAUCCAAACCCCUAAUCCCAAACUCUAUACCCUAAACCCUAAUCAUAGAUCCUAAACCCAAA
rnacentral:lncRNA from 1 species